CCACUUUCUCUUGAUCAUCCUCAAUGGCUUCACUAACCGUAUCAUCAUCAUUACCAUUUUCUCUGCUUCCAUCUUCCACCAAUUCAAUUCCUACUUCAGUCCCUUUCUUCAUAUCCUGUUCUUGCUCCUUUUCCUCUUCCUCCAUUCCAACCAUGUCCUGCUUAACAACGGAUUCGUUUUAGACGUCAACUUUUUCCUUUUCCUCAAACUCCUUUUAUUAUGCAGAACCACUUACUGGAAAAUUCCCCAACCAAAUCUAAAAGCUUCCAAGUAAAAUCAAAUCCGAAAAUGA
rnacentral:lncRNA from 1 species